rnacentral:rRNA from 1 species
CUCUGACGCGAAAGCUAGGGUAGCAAACGGGAUUAGAGACCCCGGUAGUCCUAGCCCUAAACGAUGUAGACUAGGCGUCGGAAGCUUAAUCGCUUUCGGUGUCCAAGCUAACGCGAUAAAGUCUACCGCCUGGGGACUACGGCCGCAAGGUUAAAACUCAAAGGAAUUGACGGGUCCCCGCACAAGCAGCGGAGCGUGUGGUUUAAUUCGUUGCUACACGAAGAACCUUACCUGGGUUUGACAUAGCAGUGGUAGGGAAGCGAAAGCGGACCGACCCUUCGGGGAGCUGUUACAGGUGGUGCAUGGUUGUCGUCAGCUCGUGUCGUGAGAUGUUGGGUUAAGUCCCGCAACGAGCGCAACCCUUAUCCUUAGUUGCCAGCAAGUAAUGUUGGGCACUCUAAGGAGACUGCCGGUGAUAAACCGGAGGAAGGUGGGGAUGACGUCAAAUCAUCAUGCCCCUUAUAUCUUGGGCUACACACGUGCUACAAUGGUCGGUACAAAGGGAAGCGAAGGAGUGAUCUGGAGCAAAUCCCAAUAAACCGAUCCCAGUUCGGAUUGUAGGCUGCAACUCGCCUACAUGAAGUUGGAGUUGCUAGUAAUCGCGAAUCAGAACGUCGCGGUGAAUGCGUUCCCGGGUCUUGUACACACCGCCCGUCACACCAUGGAAGUUGGUAAUACCCAAAGUCGCUGAGCUAACCGCAAGGAGGCAGGCGCCUAAGGUAGGAUCAAUGACUGGGGUGAAGUCGUAACAAGGUAGCCGUAUCGGAAGGUGCGGCUGGAUCAC